rnacentral:rRNA from 1 species
GACGAACGCUGGCGGCGUGCUUAACACAUGCAAGUCGAACGAUGAAGCCUUCGGGUGGAUUAGUGGCGAACGGGUGAGUAACACGUGGGUGAUCUGCCCUGCACUUUGGGAUAAGCCUGGGAAACUGGGUCUAAUACCGAAUAUGAUCAUGCUCUUCAUGGGGUGUGGUGGAAAGCUUUUGCGGUGUGGGAUGGGCCCGCGGCCUAUCAGCUUGUUGGUGGGGUAAUGGCCUACCAAGGCGACGACGGGUAGCCGGCCUGAGAGGGUGACCGGCCACACUGGGACUGAGAUACGGCCCAGACUCCUACGGGGGGCAGCAGUGGGGAAUAUUGCACAAUGGGCGCAAGCCUGAUUCAGCGACGCCGCGUGAGGGAUGACGGCCUUCGGGUUGUAAACCUCUUUCAGCAGGGACGAAGCGAAAGUGACGGUACCUGCAGAAGAAGGACCGGCCAACUACGUGCCAGCCGCCGCCGUAACAC